UGCCAAAUACGUGAUCGUAAUUCAAGUAUAUGUACGGCUAUACUACUAUAGUGUAUUGGCACCUGACCGUCAAGGAAGUAUUCUCUAGUAGAUGUUAUAAUCGUUCAUAACUGUGGCAGUUGUUGAAGCCAUUAUGGUGUUAAUAACGAGUGAAGGAAAAAAAGCCAGACUAACUGCAGAAUCGUAUAAAAAAAAAUGACGUUUGCCGACAUCACUUGAAUCAAUGCUAUCAAAGGUGUCCGUUGUUGACGAUUCAUAAGAGACUGGUAAACGGGUUGCCAUUUUACUAUUAGCUGGAGGCUUGUUUGGUUCUUGCGUGACUUAUAUUACCUGCAUGUCUAACUGAGUGCGCGUCAACAAAGAAUAACUAGCCACGAGUUAGAACAAGUGAGAUACUGCAACGUAUACUUAACCUGCGGUUUUGAUUCCAUUCUAACUUUCAUAGUUGCUUAGUCGAUUUAUCAGCAAGAGCAGUGUCUCACCUUCGUUCACAGUUAAAUUGAGCCAGACAUAAGAAACAUUGUCUUCAUUCUCAAUCUAUUUAAGGAAUUUAUCCACGGAGAGCCCGUCUCGGACGUGACCUCUUCGACCUUAUUGUGGAACGCUCGAGAUAUUUCAACUUCGAGGAACGGAUACCAACUGAGAGCUUCAUGAAGGUUCUCUUGUAUCGAGCACCACUACAGGAGGGACACAGUUAUCAAUAUUUAUAAGAAGAGCACACUAGCACGCUAGAGAGGUCACAACUCAAGGCUUCCGGAUUGAAAUCGAGUUACAAGGAAUAUCUGGAUCCUUGAAAGCGUCUACUAUCAUUACAUAGAAACGUCUACAAGGCCGACGCAAAAGCGUACAAGCAGCUCAACACCGAGUACAUGUUACAUGCGUGUGAGCAAGGACAGCGUCUCAAGCCUCCGGUGACUGUGUGGCGACAAGUACCGUCGCAUAUCCCGUCCUCAGUUGUCGCAUCAGACCGCCGUUUAAGCUGCAGCUUUCAGUCGACCGCUGGCGAAUACGAGGGAGACUACGCGACUAUGAGAGACAACUCUGAGAAUUGUGGGCAACUACCGACCCGCAGUAUGACACGUCGUCGACAAUGUGGACUGGCCCCUAGAGUGGAGACGUAUGUGUGAGGCGCUUCAAAAAGGCGAACAAUACGACAACGACAAAAACGACAAGGCUAGCCAUAGAGGCUGCCUCUUGCCGCUAACGUAGGCAGCAGUAGCGCCUACCGCGCCACUAAGACUGUCCUGGAUGGGAAGGGAGGGUGUCGCAGAUGAACGUCAUAUCAUGGAUACUCACGCCCCGUCCUGUUCUGUGCUGACAGUGGUGCAAUAUUCACGCCGACCAUAAAAAGAGCAAGGAACCAACAAAAGUGGAGGAGAAUGGUUCGAGAAACAUUACGGAGGGGAGUCGACGAAGAGGCUGAGUGUGUCUCCGAGCGUUGCCGUUGAGGGUUCAAGAAAAUCUCGAGUAUCCCCUUCAUCUGUCCCUGGAUCCAUAUUCAUAUGUGGAGCACCUCGACACUUGCCUGUUGUUAUGGUAGUGGUAGUCAUGCUAAGAGCGGCAAUAGUAAUGGGAUCAGCUGGAUAAGAAGAAAAGGCAAGAGAAACAUCUCAGGAUUCUCCUACCACACUUUCCUGUCUCACAUAUGGCGUAAUACGAAGCGCACGAAUGGCUGGUCUGAAUGGUAAACAAACAUCGGUGUAUGGUAGCUAUCCAAUUUUGUAUGUGGCUGGAGCUUUCGGUUUUUUGCUUAUUCUCAAAGAAACUGUUCCAGAUACACAACUUACAAUACCAAAGAUAAAAAAAACAGGCGCCGAGAUUGUUGCGGUUCAUUAUUGUUGCUAGACACGAAAAUAGUCGAUCGAAGAGUCGAGUAGCAAUAGAGACGAAGGCAUUGGACAACAGCAAAGAAAGCACGGCGUACUUUUAGAUUGCGCUUCAUGAAGUGACAUGAGGACGAAUCAGGAAAAACGAGUUAUCGAAUGAAGGAAGACAAACAGGGUAUAAAGGUAAGCGAGCAAGAGAGGGGAAACAUUGUAAGUGAUAAGAAUGCGUAUUACCUUAGCAUACUUAUCCAUUUAUUUUUAGGACACAAGCUCACAUGCGCUCUCGUGCACUUUCCAAAAGUACAGUAGACGUAUUGGCAUCAGAGAGUGAUCUAUUGGUAGUGUUGUAAAAUCAGGUUAAUUUUUGGCUAGUCAAAAACGCAUUCCCUAUUGUUUAUAUGCUCAGUUGAAAUGCAAGGACGGAAUAGAUUAAAUAAAAGGGUUUCUUUACGGUGAAUCCUUCACGCGCGU